rnacentral:rRNA from 1 species
GACGAACGCUGGCGGCGUGCUUAACACAUGCAAGUCGAACGGUGAAGCGCCUUCCUUUUUGGUGGGUGUGGAUGAGUGGCGAACGGGUGAGUAACACGUGAGUAACCUGCCCCCUUCUUCUGGAUAACCGCAUGAAAGUGUGGCUAAUACGGGAUAUUCUGGGUCUGUCGCAUGAUGGGUCUGGGAAAGAUAUUGUUUCGGUGGGGGAUGGGGUCGCGGCCUAUCAGCUUGUUGGUGGGGUGAUGGCCUACCAAGGCGGUGACGGGUAGCCGGCCUGAGAGGGUGGACGGUCACACUGGGACUGAGACACGGCCAAGACUCCUACGGGAGGCAGCAGUGGGGAAUAUUGCACAAGGGGCGCAAGGCUGAUGCAGCGACGCCGCGUGAGGGAUGGAGGCCUUCGGGUUGUGAACCUCUUUCGCCAGUGAAGCAGGCCUGCCUCGUUUGUGGGUGGGUUGACGGUAGCUGGAUAAGAAGCGCCGGCUAACUACGUG